UGACAACAUCUUGUCAAUGUGUUCAAUCCAGAAGCUUAUCGUCGUGUACAGAAACAUUAGAUAAAAUAUUCAGUAACAUCUGGCAUGGUUCCAUAGAUGAAUAGCUUUUACAUUUCUAGACAGCAGACGACAAAGAUGACGAUUCAGGUUCUCUUAUUCUUACUUCUUGCCUGUUGCCAUGGUUUCCUUAUACAAAAGUUUGACUGUCUGACUUGUGCUGAGGGGGACACUUUCUGUCUGUCGAAUUGUAUCUUCACCAUCUUCCCAACCAAUUUGUGCUCUAACUGUCUGCCCACUGACUUUCAGUGUUUGUCGUCUUGCAAGCUGAUUGGAUGAUGUGGUCACGUGUUAUGUGCUACUGAAGGACAUUUGGUUUAUGUAUGACAUUGUAUGUGAAUAUGUUAAUGUGUUAGAAUUGUGCUGGUAUUCAACUAUAAGGGUAUCAAGAAAAUAAAUACUGUCUUGGACAAAAUAUG
rnacentral:sRNA from 1 species